CAGUCUAUACUUGAUGACUUGAGAAACCGUGUACAGCUGAGCAGUGUUGCUCUGCCAUCCGUUAGUUUUUAUACAUUUAUCAAUGCACAUAAUGGUUUAAACUGUUCAACUAUAUCCCCUGAUGGGUCAUUGGUUGCUGCUGGAUUUUCAGAUUCAUCGCUGAAGAUUUGGGAUAUGGCAAAGCUUGGGUAACA